UUCGUUUAGAACAUACAACGUUUCGACCAGUAAUACUGGUCCUUAUCAAGUAUUAAAAAAUUUCUUAGCAACCCAUUAGAUGUGACAGCAAAAAUCUAAAACAUGAUUAAUGUGGAAUAAGUUUAAAAUAUUUUAUAUCUACUCCAUAUGUGUUACUGUGCAGAGUGAUUCGUUCCUCCAUGUAUUCUUAUAUUAUUACCAAUGUUACCCAUUUUUUGCUGUCACAUCUAAUGGGUUGCUAAGAAAUUUUUUAAUACUUGAUAAGGACCAGUAUUACUGGUCGAAACGUUGUAUGUUCUAAACGAAAUAUAUUGUGCCAGUUAAUUGUCGACGUUAUCGUUAUUAU